rnacentral:rRNA from 1 species
AGUCGAGCGAGGUAGCAAUACCUAGCGGCAGACGGGUGAGUAACAUGUGGGAAUCUGCCUUUUGGUUCGGAAUAACACGGGGAAACCUGUGCUAAUACCGGAUAAGUCCUUACGGAGAAAGUUUUAAUGCCAAAAGAUGAGCCCGCAUUUGAUUAGUUUGUUGGUGAGGUAAUGGCUCACCAAGACUACAAUCAAUAGCUGAUUUGAGAGGAUGAUCAGCCACACUGGGACUGAGAUACGGCCCAGACUCC